GCCCAAGAGAUCGGGAUAACACCUGGAAACAGAUGCUAAUACCGGAUAACAACAGAUGAUGCCUAUCAACUGUUUAAAAGAUGGUUCUGCUAUCACUCUUGGAUGGACCUGCGGUGCAUUAGCUAGUUGGUAGGGUAACGGCCNUACCAAGGCGAUGAUGCAUAGCCGAGUUGAGAGACUGAUCGGCCACAUUGGGACUGAGACACGGCCCAAACUCCUACGGGAGGCAGCAGGG
rnacentral:rRNA from 1 species